rnacentral:ncRNA from 1 species
GUGUUGUAUGAAAGGAGAGAAGUUUAGCACUCCCCUAGACAAGGAUGGAACACACAAACUCGUAAGGCACUCGUCGCAUUGCGCGGCACUUACGAACAUUUUUUU